rnacentral:rRNA from 1 species
CGUAGGUGGCAAGCGUUGUCCGGAUUUAUUGGGUUUAAAGGGUGCGUAGGCGGUCCUGUAAGUCAGUUGUGAAAUACGGCAGCUUAACUGUCGAGGUGCAAUUGAUACUGCGGGACUAGAGUACUGAUGAGGUAAGCGGAAUGGACGGUGUAGCGGUGAAAUGCUUAGAUAUCGUCCAGAACACCGAUAGCGAAGGCAGCUUACUAAGGAGUAACUGACGCUGAGGCACGAAAGUGUGGGGAUCAAACAGGAUUAGAUACCCUGGUAGUCCACACUGUAAACGAUGAUCACUCGAUGUUGGCGAUACACGGCCAGCGUCUUAGCAAAAGCGAUAAGUGAUCCACCUGGGGAUACGCCGGCAACGGUG